CGCGCUGGCACUCCACACGCUACGCUGGUCGACGUAACGACGCCACCGUUGAUUACAGGACGGUGUUUACGUAGGUAGACCGUUCAAUGCAGUAGGCUGUGAGAAAGAGAUUUAACUCGU